rfam:Triticum urartu cultivar G1812 contig623915, whole genome shotgun sequence.
CAUGUACUCCCUCCGUUCGAAAUUACUUGUCUUGGAAAUGGAUGUAUCUAGAACUAAAAUACGUCUAGAUACAUCAGUUUCUGCGACAAGUAAUUCCGAACGGAGGGAGUACUCC